UGUGCUAACUCACGUAAAAGUUGUUUCUAGUCCUUCAUUUUUAUCUUUUUGCAUCUUCAAUAAGUAUGCAUCUAGAAAAUCGUCAGGGUCAUCACUGAGCACA
rfam:Caenorhabditis elegans chromosome V